UUAAGUGUUCCCUUUAUUUUUUUGAGCCAUGUGUGUGUGUAUGUGUGUGUGUAUAUAUAUAUAUAUAUAUAUAUAUAUAUAUAUGGCUCAAAAAAAUAAAGGGAACACUUAUA